rnacentral:rRNA from 1 species
AGAGUGAACGCUGGCGGUAGGCCUAACACAUGCAAGUCGAACGGCAGCACAGUAGGAGCUUGCUCUUACGGGUGGCGAGUGGCGGACGGGUGAGGAAUACAUCGGAAUCUACCUUUUGGGUGGGGGAUAACGUAGGGAAACUUACGCUAAUACCGCAUACGCCCUUCGGGGGAAAGCCGGGGACCAGCAAUGGCCUGGUGCUGAUAGAUGAGCCGAUGUCGGAUUAGCUAGUUGGUGAGGUAAUGGCUCACCCAAGGCGACGAUCCGUAGCUGGUCUGAGAGGAUGAUCAGCCACACUGGAACUGAGACACGGUCCAGACUCCGUACGGGAGCAGCGAGUGGGAAUAUGGACAAGU